AUUGAACGCUGGCGGCAUGCCUUACACAUGCAAGUCGAACGGCAGCAUGAUCUAGCUUGCUAGAUUGAUGGCGAGUGGCGAACGGGUGAGUAAUACAUCGGAACGUGCCCUGUAGUGGGGGAUAACUAGUCGAAAGAUUAGCUAAUACCGCAUACGACCUGAGGGUGAAAGUGGGGGACCGCAAGGCCUCAUGCUAUAGGAGCGGCCGAUGUCUGAUUAGCUAGUUGGUGAGGUAAAGGCUCACCAAGGCGACGAUCAGUAGCUGGUCUGAGAGGACGAUAAGCCACACUGGGACUGAGACACGGCCCAGACUCCUACGGGAGGCAGCAGUGGGGAAUUUUGGGCAAUGGGCGAAAGCCUGAUCCAGCAAUGCCGCGUGUGUGAAGAAGGCCUUCGGGUUGUAAAGCACUUUUGUCCGGAAAGAAAUGGCUCUGGUUAAUACCUGGGGUCGAUGACGGUACCGGAAGAAUAAGGACCGGCUAACUACGUG
rnacentral:rRNA from 1 species